ACUAUGUAGACUGAGGAGCCUCUGACCAACUCAGCUUCUGAAAAAAAUCCAAACCUGUCCCUGCAGUUUCGGCUGUGCUGUUUCCGGAGUCAAGUAUUGAGGUUGAAGGAGGCUGAUUAGGCCUGGUCUGUGGCAGAAUGGUGCCCAAGCAGGGACCUCUGGACAGGAUGACAUGUCAUGCAAUAUUAAAAUGAAAAGUGACUUUGUGUGCUGGUAUAAGAAGAUCUUGAAGAUAGAGAUGACAGACCACCUGGACAAUGCUUCCUGAUCGUUUUUGUUAAAGUCUGGGAUGUCUUUGGCAUCUUCAUCUGCAUACCUUCUUUUGCUGCAGGAACACUCUGCUUGGACAGAUGGCAUAUUUGGACACAUUCACAGGAUGACAUGUCAUGCAAUAUUAAAAUGAAAAGUGACUCUAUGUGCUGGUCUAAGAAGAUCUUGAAGAUAGAGAUGACAGACCACCUGGACAAUGCUUCAUGAUCGUUUUUGUUAAAGGACUGUCACCCUGAAUUGGGAGGCUCCUGGCACUUUGCCCUUCUGCUUGUUGACAUCCCCUGAAGGAGGAGUUCUCAGGACACAUCAGGUGAAUUCUAGCCAUAACAUCAGGCUCCAAAGAGUUUUCUAGCUAAUAAUGUCCACUAUUGAAGACGUUUCGUUCUUGUCUAUUUGCUGGAUGCCUGGGUUAGCAGAAGCUUGUCUAAGGAGUCACUGCCUGUGUUGAAGUGGGCUCUGCAGUGAAAUAGCUGUUGGGAAGUUACCCAAGCUCCUCUGCCUGGAGUCAUGGCCUCAGCCAUGGCCUUGUGGAUAUUUUCUAGCUCACAUAAACAAUCCUGAGAGAACAUUCGUGGUCGUAACAGCAAGAAAGUUUAUGGGAAAAGAGGACACUGUGACUGUUGGUUCCAGGAGCUGAAGAUUGCCACCUGACCUUCAGAGAGCCCCCAGUCUCUCCCACUCCCCACCCCCCAUCCCUUGGAGCCUCCUCUUGCUUAUGCUUAUAUUGCCACUCCUGAAUAAAGUUUUCAGAGCUUGAUCAGUA
rnacentral:lncRNA from 1 species